rnacentral:rRNA from 1 species
GAUGAACGCUGGCGGCGUGCUUAACACAUGCAAGUCAAGGGGCCCAGCAAUGGGCAACCGGCGAACGGGUGCGUAACACGUGAGCAACCUACCGAAUUGUGGGGAUAGCCGGCCCAACGGCCGGGUAAUACCGCAUACGAUCGAGACCAGGCAUUUGGACUCGAUGAAAUCUACGGAGCAAUUCGAGGGGCUCGCGGCCUAUCAGCUAGUUGGUGGGGUAACGGCUCACCAAGGCGACGACGGGUAGCUGGUCUGAGAGGAUGGCCAGGCCACAUUGGGACUGAGAUACGGCCCAGACUCUACGGGAGGCAGCAGUGGGAAUCUUGCGCAAUGGCCUAACGGCUGACGCAGCGACGCCGCGUGAGGGAUGACGCUCUUCGGAGUGUAAACCUCUUUUG